GACGAACGCUGGCGGCGUGCUUAACACAUGCAAGUCGAACGGAAAGGCCCUGCUUUUGUGGGGUGCUCGAGUGGCGAACGGGUGAGUAACACGUGAGUAACCUGCCCUUGACUUUGGGAUAACUUCAGGAAACUGGGGCUAAUACCGGAUAGGAGCUCCUGCUGCAUGGUGGGGGUUGGAAAGUUUCGGCGGUUGGGGAUGGACUCGCGGCGUAUCAGCUUGUUGGUGGGGGAGUGGCUUACCAAGGCUUUGACGGGUAGCCGGCCUGGGAGGGUGACCGGCCACAUUGGGACUGAGGUACGGCCCAGACUCCUACGGGAGGCAGCAGUGGGGAAUAUUGCACAAUGGGCGGAAGCCUGAUGCAGCAACGCCGCGUGCGGGAUGACGGCCUUCGGGUUGUAAACCGCUUUCGCCUGUGACGAAGCGUGAGUGACGGUAAUGGGUAAAGAAGCACCGGCUAACUACGUG
rnacentral:rRNA from 1 species